rnacentral:rRNA from 1 species
UACGGGGGGGGCAAGCGUUGUCCGGAAUUACUGGGCGUAAAGAGCUCGUAGGUGGUUUGUCGCGUUGUUCGUGAAAACUCACAGCUUAACUGUGGGCGUGCGGGCGAUACGGGCAGACUGGAGUACUGCAGGGGAGACUGGAAUUCCUGGUGUAGCGGUGAAAUGCGCAGAUAUCAGGAGGAACACCGGUGGCGAAGGCGGGUCUCUGGGCCGAUACUGACGCUGAGGAGCGAAAGCGUGGGGAGCAAACAGG